UACGAAGGGGGCUAGCGUUGCUCGGAAUUACUGGGCGUAAAGCGUGCGCAGGCGGUUAUGUAAGUCAGUUGUGAAAUCCCCGGGCUCAACCUGGGAACUGCAUCUGUGACUGCAUAGCUAGAGUACGGUAGAGGGGGAUGGAAUUCCGCGUGUAGCAGUGAAAUGCGUAGAUAUGCGGAGGAACACCGAUGGCGAAGGCAAUCCCCUGGACCUGUACUGACGCUCAGGCACGAAAGCGUGGGGAGCAAACAGG
rnacentral:rRNA from 1 species